AUUGAACGCUGGCGGCAUGCCUUACACAUGCAAGUCGAACGGUAGAGGGGCAACCCUCGAGAGUGGCGAACGGGUGAGUAACGCAUCGGAACGUGCCCAGUCGUGGGGGAUAACACUUCGAAAGAAGUGCUAAUACCGCAUACGACCUGAGGGUGAAAGCGGGGGAUCGCAAGACCUCGCGCGAUUGGAGCGGCCGAUGUCAGAUUAGGUAGUUGGUGGGGUAAAGGCCUACCAAGCCGACGAUCUGUAGCUGGUCUGAGAGGACGACCAGCCACACUGGGACUGAGACACGGCCCAGACUCCUACGGGAGGCAGCAGUGGGGAAUUUUGGACAAUGGGCGCAAGCCUGAUCCAGCCAUGCCGCGUGCAGGAAGAAGGCCUUCGGGUUGUAAACUGCUUUUGUCAGGGAAGAAAUCUUCUGGGCUAAUACCCCGGGAGGAUGACGGUACCUGAAGAAUAAGCACCGGCUAACUACGUGC
rnacentral:rRNA from 1 species